GACGAACGCUGGCGGCGUGCCUAAUACAUGCAAGUAGAACGCUGAAGGAGGAGCUUGCUCUUCUGGAUGAGUUGCGAACGGGUGAGUAACGCGUAGGUAACCUGCCUGGUAGCGGGGGAUAACUAUUGGAAACGAUAGCUAAUACCGCAUAAGAGUAGAUGUUGCAUGACAUUUACUUAAAAGGUGCAAUUGCAUCACUACCAGAUGGACCUGCGUUGUAUUAGCUAGUUGGUGGGGUAACGGCUUACCAAGGCGACGAUACAUAGCCGACCUGAGAGGGUGAUCGGCCACACUGGGACUGAGACACGGCCCAGACUCCUACGGGAGGCAGCAGUAGGGAAUCUUCGGCAAUGGACGGAAGUCUGACCGAGCAACGCCGCGUGAGUGAAGAAGGUUUUCGGAUCGUAAAGCUCUGCUGUAAGAGAAGAACGAGUGUGAGAGUGGAAAGUUCACACUGUGACGGUAUCUUACCAGAAAGGGACGGCUAACUACGUG
rnacentral:rRNA from 1 species